rnacentral:rRNA from 1 species
GAUGAACGCUGGCGGCGUGCCUAAUACAUGCAAGUCGAGCGAACAGAUAAGGAGCUUGCUCCUUUGACGUUAGCGGCGGACGGGUGAGUAACACGUGGGUAACCUACCUAUAAGACUGGAAUAACUCCGGGAAACCGGGGCUAAUGCCGGAUAACAUUUAGAACCGCAUGGUUCUAAAGUGAAAGAGGGUUUUGCUAUCACUUAUAGAUGGACCCGCGCCGUAUUAGCUAGUUGGUAAGGUAACGGCUUACCAAGGCAACGAUCCGUAGCCGACCUGAGAGGGUGACCGGCCACACUGGAACUGAGACACGGUCCAGACUCCUACGGGAGGCAGCAGUAGGGAAUCUUCCGCAAUGGGCGCAAGCCUGACGGAGCAACGCCGCGUGAGUGAUGAAGGUCUUCGGAUCGUAAAACGCUUUUAUUAGGGAAGAACACCUGUGUAAGUAACUGUCCACGUCUUGACGGUACCUAAUCAGAAAGCCCCGGCUAACUACGUG